GACAGAGGGGGCAAGCGUUGCUCGGAAUUACUGGGCGUAAAGGGCGCGUAGGCGGGAUGGCAAGUCGGUCGUGAAAUCCCUCGGCUCAACCGAGGAACGUCGAUCGAUACUGCUGUUCUUGAGGAUUGCAGAGGAGACUGGAAUUCCCGGUGUAGCGGUGAAAUGCGCAGAUAUCGGGAAGAACACCUGUGGCGAAGGCGGCUCUCUGGGACGGUACUGACGCUGAGACGCGAAAGCGUGGGGAGCAAACAGG
rnacentral:rRNA from 1 species